rnacentral:rRNA from 1 species
UACGUAGGGUGCGAGCGUUGUCCGGAAUUAUUGGGCGUAAAGAGCUCGUAGGCGGUGUGUCACGUCGGCCGUGAAAACCUGGGGCUUAACUCUGGGCGUGCGGUCGAUACGGGCAUCACUAGAGUUCGGCAGGGGAGACUGGAAUUCCUGGUGUAGCGGUGAAAUGCGCAGAUAUCAGGAGGGACACCGGUGGCGAAGGCGGGUCUCUGGGCCGAUACUGACGCUGAGGAGCGAAAGCAUGGGUAGCGAACAGG